UACGUAGGGGGCAAGCGUUGUUCGGAUUUACUGGGCGUAAAGGGCGCGUAGGCGGUCGUGACAAGUCACUUGUGAAAUCUCCGGGCUUAACUCGGAACGGUCAAGUGAUACUGUCGGACUAGAGUACAGAAGGGGCAACUGGAAUUCUCGGUGUAGCGGUGAAAUGCGUAGAUAUCGAGAGGAACACCUGCGGCGAAGGCGGGUUGCUGGGCUGAUACUGACGCUGAGGCGCGAAAGCUAGGGGAGCGAACGGG
rnacentral:rRNA from 1 species